UACGUAGGGGGCAAGCGUUGUCCGGAAUCAUUGGGCGUAAAGCGCGUGUAGGCGGCUUGGUAAGUCCGUUCUGAAAGCCCGGGGCUCAACCCCGGGAGGCGGAUGGAUACUGUCAAGCUUGAGUCCGGAAGAGGCGAGUGGAAUUCCCGGUGUAGCGGUGAAAUGCGCAGAUAUCGGGAGGAACACCGGUGGCGAAGGCGGCACUCUGGGCCGGUACUGACGCUGAGGAGCGAAAGCGUGGGGAGCGAACAGG
rnacentral:rRNA from 1 species